AAGUCGUAACAAGGUCUCCGUAGGUGAACCUGCGGAGGGAUCAUUACACAACAAAAUAUGAAGGCCCUGGCUUCGCGGCCGGCUGAAAUAUUUUUUCACCCAUGUCUUUUGCGCACUUGUUGUUUCCUGGGCGGGUUUGCCCGCCACCAGGACCAAACCAUAAACCUUUUUUUUUUAUGCAGUUACCAUCAGCGUCAGUAAAAACAAUGUAAUUAAUUACAACUUUCAACAACGGAUCUCUUGGUUCUG
rnacentral:misc_RNA from 1 species